ACCUAUUAGCAUUGACCUAAAGACGAUUCCCUAGGCCAAUGUCGCAUGUAGCCUAGGCCAAGCGCGCAUUUUAGUGGUCCAAGCGCGCUGGGAUUGCGCGCAGUUUAGGGGGUUCAGGCGCGCAGGCGCGUUGCGCGCAUUUUAGGCACACCCCAUUGACUGCAAUUGUCGUUAAAGCAACAUUGCCGCCACAGCAAACAAAGAAGCUCGUCUUCGAUUCCUUUCAAGCAGAUGAGGUUCUUAAACUGUUAAAUUCUGUGCAAAAGAAAGAAAGAAACGCAGAAGAAAAAAGCAGCAUUGCAGUCCAAAGAAAAAAACAAUUUGAUUGUUCAAGACUGACGAUUACGGGAUUCUUCACAUUUUUGGUUUCGACGACGGUUGUUAUCAAUGUUGAUUUGUUUACCCAACAAAUAUUUUGAUGAAAUUGCACAGUCCCAUUUGGUACAAUUCUCGAGGAGUCUAUGAGCAAUGUCAAUGCCUUCCUACUCCAAAGUUUUAAGGCAAAUAUCAAAAGCCUGAAAUUUACACCUGAAAGAUGAUUUUCUGUUAUCAAUGGAAAUAUAAAUAUUUUGGUUUCCAGGUUUUAAACGUGCCCCACUUCACAGCAUAAGUUGAAACUAACUAUCAUAUAUAAUUUUGUGGAUAACAUUUGACUUUCAGUGUUAAGUACAGAAACGACAAGUAAUCGCGACACCGAAAAAUAUUGGAUUCGGCUUAAAACUGAUUUGUGAAGUGCGUAACCGAUUCAUUAGAUUGAUCUCCGGAGAGGUGUUUGCCGCUGAGAAAUGCUGGUUUUGUCCAACAUUGCAUAAUAGAAUGCCAUCAAUGUAUACAUGUACUACCCAUCCUAUGAUCUAAUGUGAUACUUUAAAUUAUUAUAUACGGACGUGAAAGCCAUCCUGCUCUUCAGUUGAUUAAGGAUAUGGCAGGAAAAGCACCAAAGGCAAGAUACCGGAUUUAGGAUUGAGAUAACUUCUAAUCUUCGGAAAUAAGCCAGCCACUGAAGUGUGUUUUAAAAUCACCGUGCAAAGUAGCCCGGUUUGACAUUGAGUCAAUCUGCAACCAAAUUUGAUCUCCUGCUGGCAAAGGUAGUGUAGAUUGCAAGGAUAUCGUUUCAUAGCUAACGGUGCUAUGCUCAACUACGUAUCCAUAGCAUCUUGAAUACAAACUAUUGCCAUUCUUGUAAAUGCCACAAUUAAGAUAUUCGUAAGAAGAAUUUCCUGGAAACCUAGCCAGGCCGGUGAAAGUGAAAAAGUAUUUCCCCGUUCGAGGUGCUGUGAAUUUUCCCGACUGUAAGUUCAUGGCUUCUCCAAUGUUAAGUUUUUCAACGUCGAAUGGAAUUGGAGUUCUCGUUUGAUUGUAAACCGUUGUGGAUCUUUCAACACAGAAAUAGAUGGGGAAUGAUUUGACAUCUACAAAUGCGAUCCACUUUUGUAAACCUGAAGUUCAUAGCAUAUGCCAGUUUUAUAUGUUAAAUAAUUAUUUAAAUCGCUAAUGUUGUUUAUUUUACAUCCCUUACCUGAAUCAUUAGGCAAUUUCGUAAAGUCGCAGUAAACGCUUUCCACCAUUGCAUUUCCAGUGACCGAAUAUAAUCCGCUCAAGCUGUGACCAGCCCUCCACAAAUCUUCAUAUGACGAAGGCAUCCCGAUUACGGCCGUUUGACCCGAGCAUUCAAAUGGACCAAGCGUAUGGACACCGGGGGAACUUUGUAAUUGGGUUCGACCAAAAUUUAGCCGGGUGAUGGGCAGAAUGUCUUUCCUUGAAGCAACUUGCCCUGAUGUGUUAGUGGAAUGGGCGCCGCGGAAUCGCAGUUGCAUUUUAGCAGAGCAUCAACGCAGUUGCCAUCGAUGCCGCACUGACAGGUAUGAACGCUGGCGUCGCUGCCGGCCCAGAAGUAUUCAGAGCUACCAUCUUUGUUGUUCCACCACGCAUAAGGAACAUCAUCGAAUUCGAAUGGCGCGAAGUUGCAGUCGUACUAGUUACAUAACAUAGAAGUUGAUCAGAACCGUUAACUGCCCUGGAAUAGCAUCCUGGUUCAGCGCAGUGGCCCAACAUCAAUGGCCGCUUCGUUAUCUUGUGAAAUAGAUGUUAUUCCUGGACAGAGUUAAACGUAUAUCGGGGCAUUACCAACUCCCUGGCCGUCCGGAUCGAUUCAUUACUUACCAGAAGAAAGGGAUGGGUCGGCAAGGUGAGCAUCUCGACACGUUCUUGGGAUGCCGCUUCUUCCAGUUGACUGACGGGUAACUGCACCAUCAUUGACGACUACAUUUUCGCCGGCCCCUCCGUACUGGCCUUCGUUUACCCACAUAUGUGAUGGAUCCGAUGGAGUAAAUCGACUCAUGUUGGACAUUUGAUGGCCGAAGAAAUUAUCCAGCCGUUACCUAAAUGCCAAAACUGGUAACACGAAAUGAACCGAAAAAAGUCUGUUGUUUCCCAGCUGCCCAGUUUUCAUGUUUUUGUUGUUCCAAUGCUCUUUUCAUCAACGGUGAAGUUAUACACCACGUCACAGCAUACGGACAAGGAAUCGCGGCACCGAAAAAUGGAUUCGGCUCGAAUUUGAUUUGUGAAGAAUAAAUAACCGAUUCAUCAGAUUCAUCUCCGAAGAGGUAUUUGCCGCUGUAUGCCAGAGCCCUUCCUGUAGUGGUCUAAAUACCAUUAAGCGAUAUUGA